rnacentral:rRNA from 1 species
AACGAGCGCAACCCCUACUGUCUAGUUGCCAGCGGGUCAUGCCGGGGACUCUAGCGGAACUGCCAGCGUAAGCUGCGAGGAAGGUGGGGAUGACGUCAAAUCAGCACGGCCCUUACGUCCAGGGCUACACACGUGUUACAAUGGCCGGUACAGAGGGCAGCCACCCCGCGAGGGGCGCGAAUCCCGAAAGCCGGUCCCAGUUCGGAUCGGAGUCUGCAACCCGACUCCGUUGAAGCUGGAUUCGCUAGUAAUCGCGCAAUCAGCCACGGCGCGGUGAAUACGUUCCCGGGCCUU